rnacentral:rRNA from 1 species
GACGAACGCUGGCGGCGUGCUUAACACAUGCAAGUCGAACGGAAAGGCCCUGCUUUUGUGGGGUGCUCGAGUGGCGAACGGGUGAGUAACGCGUGAGCAACCUGCCCUUGACUUUGGGAUAACUUCAGGAAACUGGGGCUAAUACCGGAUAGGAGCUCCUGCUGCAUGGUGGGGGUUGGAAAGUUUCGGCGGUUGGGGAUGGACUCGCGGCUUAUCAGCUUGUUGGUGGGGUAGUGGCUUACCAAGGCUUUGACGGGUAGCCGGCCUGAGAGGGUGACCGGCCACAUUGGGACUGAGAUACGGCCCAGACUCCUACGGGAGGCAGCAGUGGGGAAUAUUGCACAAUGGGCGGAAGCCUGAUGCAGCAACGCCGCGUGCGGGAUGACGGCCUUCGGGUUGUAAACCGCUUUCGCCUGUGACGAAGCGUGAGUGACGGUAAUGGGUAAAGAAGCACCGGCUAACUACGUG